rnacentral:rRNA from 1 species
CCUACGGGAGGCUGCAGUGGGGGAUAUUGCACAAUGGGGGAAACCCUGAUGCAGCGACGCCGCGUGGGUGAAGAAGUAUUUCGGAAUGUAAAGCUCUAUCAGCAGGGAAGAAAAUGACAGUACCUGACCAAGAAGCACCGGCUAACUCCGUGCCAGCAGCCGCGGUAAUACGUAGGGGGCAAGCGUUAUCCGGAUUUACUGGGUGUAAAGGGAGCGUAGGCGGGAUUGGAAGUCUGAUGUGAAAGCCCAGGGCGCAACCCCGGGACUGCUUUGGAAACUGUGUAACUGGAGUACAGGAGGGGCAGGCGGAAUUCCUGGUGUAGCGGUGAAAUGCGUAGAGAUCAGGAGGAACACCGACGGCGAAGGCGGCCUGCUAGACUGAAACUGACGUUGAGGCUCGAAAGCGUGGGGAGCAAACAGGAUUAGAUACCCCUGUAGUC